CCCUACGGGGGGCAGCAGUGAGGAACAUUGGUCAAUGGUCGGGAGACUGAACCAGCCAAGCCGCGUGAGGGAUGAAGGUACAGAGUAUCGUAAACCUCUUUUGUCAGGGGACAAAGGCGGGGACGCGUCCCCGGAUGAGUGUACCUGAAGAAAAAGCAUCGGCUAACUCCGUGCCAGCAGCCGCGGUAAUACGGAGGAUGCGAGCGUUAUCCGGAUUUAUUGGGUUUAAAGGGUGCGCAGGCGGUCUGUUAAGUCAGCGGUCAAAGCCCGGGGCUCAACCCCGGCCCGCCGUUGAAACUGGCAGG
rnacentral:rRNA from 1 species